rnacentral:other from 1 species
CUCGUAUUUUUGUGGCGCAAGCCCGUUUAUUUUUAAGGAUGCUUUCAAAUGGCAAAUGGUACCGUUAAGUGGUUCAAUGACUCCAAGGGUUUUGGUUUUAUCUCCCCGUCCGAAGGUGGUGAAGACCUCUUCGCUCACUUCUCCGCAAUUCAAGGCAACGGUUUCAAGACCCUGGCCGAGAACCAGAAGGUGACCUUCGACGUCGUGAAUGGCCCGAAGGGCAAGCAGGCUGCUAACAUCCGCCCGGCUGAAUAAGUCGCGGAUACGCCUGUAUCGAAAAGCCCGGCUAGCCGGGCUUUUUUG